GGCACAUCAUAGCACUAUACAAAUAUAUACAGGGUGAGUACAAAUUGCUAUGUGCUAAACCAGUGGUUCCCAAACUUUUUAGGUUCAAGGCGCCCUUAAUAUUUCAGUAUUUUUCCAAGGCAUCCCAAGUCAAAAUUUCUAGGUUGUAUAUAUGUUAGACAUGUGCAAUUCGAUUUGGACGAAUAUCGGACAUUCGGAUGCUUCCAAAUGUCUGAAGUACCGAAUUUCCAAAGUGCCGAACCGAAUUGCUGAAGUGCCAAAUUUCGGAAAUGCGAAGUGCUUAGGACUUCUGAAAAGUGGCAAAACGGGUAGGGGUAGGAUUGGGGUUGGGCUAAGAGUAGGGUUAGAGUUAGGGUGGGGUUAGGAGUAGGGUUUGGGUUAGGGUUGGGUAAGGAGUAGGGUUACUUUAGGGUUAGGGGUUGAGUUAGGAUACCCCUACCCCUAACCUAACCCUACCCUAACCCCACUCCUAACCCAACCCUAACCCUACUCCUAAUCCUAACCAUACUCCUCACCCAACACUAACCCUACUCUCACCCUACUCUUAACCCUAACCCUACUCCUAACCCAACCCUAACCCUACUCUUACCCUAACCCUACUCCUAACCCUACUCCUAACCCAACCCUAACCCUACUCCCAACCAAACCCUAACCCUACUCCUAACCCAACCCAAACCCUAACCCUACACUUACCCUUAGUCCCGAAUUUCGGAAGUACCAAACCGAACCGAAGUGCCAAAGUGUCGAAUUGCUGAAGUCCCAAAUUGCUGAAGUCCCAAAUUUCGGAAGUGUCGAACCAAACCAAAUUGCCGAAGUGCCGCAUUUCAGAAUGCCGAAUCAAAUUUUUUGCCCAUGCACAUCCCUAAUAUCUGUACAGCGCUGUCGCAUUUAUUGUCGCUCAAGUGUAAUGUACAGUGUUGGUGCUUAACGAGGUGCUUGUAUACAUUUGUGUUUUAAUACAGGGAUGUGUUUGUAUGUGAUGUUUGUGUUUGAUUGCAGGGGUGAGCUUGUAUGUUGUGCUGGUGUUUCACUGUUUGGAUGCAUGUACAUACAUACAUACUUUCACAGAUAUUCAUGCACAUUAACACACAGAUGCAUAUAAAUACACCGACACAUACACACAAAUUCAUAUAGACACCGACACAUACAGAUACACACCGACAGUUACACACACAUACACCCUGUUCCAAAUUAUUAUGCAAAUUAUAUUUUUCUCAUUUACCUUAAUAAUUGAUGUAAAUAACAGUCAGCAUAUUUCUCAUGUUAUCAACUAUUAAGAGUACAAUUUAAAUUUUAUUGAACAAACCUCCUAAUGAUAACAGUAUUUUUUUUAAAACAUAAAAACUUACACUGUUCCAAAUUAUUAUGCACAGUAAAUUUCAAAACACUUUAUAGGUUGUAAAGAACUGAAAAUUGUCAUUUGUUGUGUUUGCAGCAUAUUUACUGAAAUCAAAAGCUAUUUCAAUCAAACUUAUAACAACAUUUUAACUUUUUAAACAUUUU